rnacentral:lncRNA from 1 species
UAAAGGCAAAUUCUUGUCCUACUCAGCUAAAAUGGAUUCUAAUUCAGAUUAUUACCUGAGGACCAGAUCAAUUAAGAUGGGAAAGAUAGCAUCACCAUCUGAAGACUUCCCGAUUUCAGGAAAAUACAACAUAUAAUAAAAUGAUUUUAAGGGGGGAAAAAGAAAAAGAGGAAGAAGAGAAAAAAAAUCAGAAACGCAUUUUAAGAAACUGAAGAAGUGUUGAAAAUAUAUGCAAUGUAUCACACUCAUGCACUACUCCUCCUCAUCUUCCCACUCUGCAAAGUAGCAAAGAGAAAACUUGUAAGAAAUGAGAGAAAUGAAUAUUGGUGGAGCAUUGUAAGGCAACCUCUCCUGUGUUCCUAUACUUACAGAGAAACUAGGAUCUGAAAUGUUGUGCACACUUUUGGACCCAGCAAUAUUCCUACUAUGCCUGUAUUCCAAAGAUAUAAAAGAAAGGACCUUUAUGUACAAAAAUUUUAUAGCAUCUCUUUUCAUGAUGGCAAAUAAUUAGAAACUGAAGGAUUGUCCAUCAAUUGUAGAAUGACUGAGCAAAUGCUGUUGUAUAAUUGUGACUGAAUACUACUGUGCUAUAAGAAGUGAGGACCAUGAUUAUUCCAGAAAACCAAACCAAACAAAACAAAACCUUUGGAAGACUCAUAGGCAUUGAUGCAAAGUGAAGUGAGUAGAACCAGCACAUUCUUCUGUAAUGUAACAGUGAUACUGUAAGAAUGAUCACCUGUGAAAUACU